rnacentral:piRNA from 1 species
UGUGAAGUGUGCUUGCGGACCUUUGCUC